rnacentral:rRNA from 1 species
UACGAAGGGUGCUAGCGUUGUUCGGAAUCACUGGGCGUAAAGCGCGCGUAGGCGGCUAAUCAAGUCAGGGGUGAAAUCCCACAGCUCAACUGUGGAACUGCCUUUGAAACUGGUUAGCUAGAGUGUUGGAGGGGAUAGCGGAAUUGCUAAUGUAGAGGUGAAAUUCGUAGAUAUUAGCAGGAACACCGGUGGCGAAGGCGGCUAUCUGGACAACAACUGACGCUGAGGCGCGAAAGCGUGGGGAUCAAACAGG